rnacentral:rRNA from 1 species
GUCAAAGAAAGGAAGGCUUACGGUGGAGACCUAGGCACUCAGAGACGAUGAAGGGCGCAGAUACCGGCGAUACGCUUCGGGGAGCUGGUCACAAGCAUAGAUCCGAAGAUUCCCGAAUAGGGCAACCUCUUUUAGAACUCCUUUUUGAAUUCAUAGAAAAGGAAGAGGCAACCCGGUGAACUGAAACAUCUCAGUAGCCGGAGGAAAAGAAAGCAAAAGCGAUUCCCGGAGUAGCGGCGAGCGAAAUGGGAAUAGCCUAAACCACCCUCCCGGAGGGUGGGGUCGUGGGAAUCCUUAGCUGCUUCGCUGCGCGACGCUCCCGUUCUAGCCCAAGGUCUAGGAACAGGACAGAAAAAAUGAGAGACGAAGCAGCUGAAUCCUGCACCAUAGAUGGUGAAAGUCCAGUAGUCAACCAUUUCGAAAUAAAGGAAAAUCCCGAGUAGCAUGGGGCACGUGGAAUCCCGUGUGAAUCUGCGAGGACCACCUCGUAAGGCUAAAUACUCCUGAGUGACCGAUAGUGAAGAAGUACAGCGAUGGAAAGGUGAAACAGAACCCCCGUAGGGGAGUGAAAUAGAACAUGAAACCGUAAGCUGACAAGCAGUGGGAGGAUAUGCGCUAGCGCAGAAUAUCUGACCGCGUGCCUGUUGAAGAAUGAGCCGGCGACUUAUAGGAAGUGGCAGGGUUAAGGAAGAACCUCCGGAGCCCAAGCGAAAGCGAGUCUGAAUAGGGCGACUUCGUCACUUCUUAUGGACCCGAACCUGGAUGAUCUAAUCAUGGCCAAGUUGAAGCUUGGGUAACACUAAGUGGAGGACUGAACCCACCGAUGUUGAAAAAUCGGGGGAUGAGCUGUGAUUAGCGGUGAAAUUCCAAUCGAAUUCAGAGCUAGCUGGAUCUCCCCGAAAUGCGUUGAGGCGCAGCGGCGACGACGUCCUGUCUAAGGGUAGAGCGACUGUUUCGGUGCGGGCUGCGAAAGCGGUACCAAGUCGUGGCAAACUCCGAAUAUUAGGCAAUGGAUUCCGUGAGCCAGUGAGACAGUGGGGGACAAGCUUCAUUGUCAAGAGGGAAACAGCCCAGACCAUCAGCUAAGGCCCCUAAAUGACUGCUAAGUGGAAAAGGAUGUGAGAAUGCUGAAACAACCAGGAGGUUCGCUUAGAAGCAGCUAUUCCUUGAAAGAGUGCGUAAUAGCUCACUGGUAAAGCGUUCUUGCGCCGACAAUGGCCGGGACUAAGCAGCCUGCCGAAGCUAUGGGAUUUGUUCUUUUCUUACAAAAUCUUUAGAAGAAAAGUCACAAACAAAUCGGUAGGGGAGCGUACAGCAUAGGGUGAAGCUUUGACGUGAGUCUUGGUGGACGGUGCUGUAGUGAGAAUGUCGGCUUGAGUAACGAAAACAUUGGUGAGAAUCCAAUGCCCCGAAAACCUAAGGGUUCCUCUACAAGGUUCGUCCGUGGGGGGUGAGUCAGGACCUAAGGCGAGGCCGAGCGGCGUAGUCGAUGGCAAACAGGUUAAUAUUCCUGUACUCAUUUUUGUGGGAACCGAGGGACGAAGAAAGCUAAGUUGGGUCUAUUUGUGGAUUGUAGUGGAAACGUUCAAGGCGACGAAAGGUCGAAGAAAAACGAAUCUUGAGCUGAGGCGUGAUCCCGCUUUCUAGACUUGUUCUGGACAAGCGCCAAUGACGUUAUACUUCCAAGAAAAGCUCGUACACCUCUAAAAGUUAUUUUAGAAAAACACAAAAAUGACCUGUACCAUAAACCGACACAGGUAGGUUGGUAGAGAAUACUGAGGGGCGCGAGAGAACUCUCUCUAAGGAACUCGGCAAACUAGCCCCGUAACUUCGGAAGAAGGGGCGCCUCCUUUGUGAAGCAGGGGGGGUCGCAGCGAGUCGGUUCUGGCAACUGUUUAUCAAAAACACAGGUCUCCGCAAAGUCGUAAGACAACAUAUGGGGGCUGACGCCUGCCCAGUGCCGGAAGGUCAAGGAAGUUGGUUAGAGGUUUUUACUUCGAAGCUGACGACCGAAGCCCCGGUGAACGGCGGCUGUAACUAUGACAGUCCCUAAGGUAGCGAAAUUCAUUGUCGAGUAAGUUUCGACCUGCACGAAAGGCGUAAUGAUCAGAACGCUGUCUCGGAGAGAGGCUCGGUGAAAUAGACUUGUCCGUGAAGAUGCGGACUACUAAUACUUGGACAGAAAGACCCUAUGAAGCUUGACUGUAUCCUGGAAUUGGGUUCGGGCUUUUCUUGCGCAGCCUAGGUGGGAGGCGUUGAAGAUUUCCUUCCGGGGAAGUUGGAGCCAUCAUUGAGAGACCACUCUGGAGAGGCUAGAAUCCUAAUGGUGAUCCUUGAAUCAGGACACUUGACAGUUUCAGGUGGGCAGUUUUUCUGGGGCGGAAGCCUCAUAAAAGGUAACUGAGGCGCGCAAAGGUUCCCUCAGUCUGGACGGAAAUCAGACAGCGAGUGUAAAGGCAAAAGGGAGCUUGACUGCAAGACCUACAAGUCGAGCAGGAGCGAAAGCUGGCCUUAGUGAUCCGACGGUGCCGUGUGGAAGGGCCGUCGCUCAACGAAUAAAAGUUACUCUAGGGAUAACAGGCUGAUCUUCUCCAAGAGUUCACAUCGACGAGAAGGUUUGGCACCUGAUGUCGGCUCAUCACAUCCUGGGGCUGUAGUAGGUCCCAAGGGUUGGGCUGUUCGCCCAUUAAAGUGGUACGUGAGCUGGGUUCAGAACGUCGUAAGACAGUUCGGUCCAUAUCCGGUAUUAGCGUUAGAAUAUUGAGGUCAGUCGCUCAUAGUACGAGAGGACCUGUAGCGAACAUGCCAAUGGUGUACCUGUUAUUUUUCCAAAAGUAAACGCAGGGUAGCCACGCAUGGAGUGAAUAAGUACUGAAUGCAUCUAAGUACGAAGUCCAGACCAAGAUGAGUAUUCUCCAUAAAGCCGCAGCAAGACAAGCUGUCGUAUAGGUAUCAAGUGUAAGGCCAGUAAUGGUUUCAGCUGAGAUAUACUAAAGGCUAAUUGAUUUUGAC